UACACUGGCUAGGCUGGGAAGCUGUCUGAGAGAAAAAAUAUCCUGUUGCCAGAUGCUCUUUUUUUAUUCUAACACAGUUGUUUUUCUCUUCACUUGAUAAAGUUAAAAUAAACAGUCUCUGGGGUGAAUUACAGGCGUCAAAAUUGGAUUGGCAUACAAACUGUAGAGCAGUUGGUGGUUGGGAGUCUGGGGAAAAAGAAACAGCAGGUUUUAGCUAGAGGGGACAACAGCUUUAUUUCCCUCUUGGUCCUUGACAACUAAGCAGAUGUCCUACAAUUAUUGUUUUACCUUCUAGUAAUAUAGUGUCUUUUCCUAUCCUCCCAGGUAUGUGACUGGCUCUUUUGCAGAUGUGCAGGAUUUCAAAGGACAGCCAGACAAUCCUGGUAGCCACACUCAGCCCAAAAGCUGCACACUGAAAAUCUCGAGCGCUCUGCACUGUGCCAGUCAAGCCUGCAGCACUGUCAGUGAGGAGAAAGUCAAGGCGGAUUCCAGUACAGCGCUGAUGCGAGUGUGGUGCCCAGCAGCUUGUGGCCGAGGACUGGUGCCGACAACCGUUCACAAUGAAAGAAAGCAACUGAGUCCUGCAGAGGUGACACUCGGCUGGAAAACCUAAAUGAUCGUCCAUAUUGCACCCAAAAGAGAUGGAAGGAGUUGGAGUGUGUGGCAGGCCUAAUCUGAGAAGUGGCUUAUUCUUAAGGUAGCAAGUACACUCCCUGUGUAUCUUCAGUCUUSUCUGUGAUUUCAUUUCAAAGUACUACUGCUUCAUUCCUUGUUGGGCAGGGAGAACC
rnacentral:lncRNA from 1 species